rnacentral:rRNA from 1 species
GACGAACGCUGGCGGCGUGCUUAACACAUGCACGUCGAGCGGGGCGGCGAACGGGUGAGUAACGCGUGAGUAACUGCCCCCCUCUCUGGGAUAACAGUUGGAAACGGCUGCUAAUACCGGAUAGUGGGGGAUGACUCGCGUGCUCGCCGCUUGUUGGUUGGGUAGUGGCCUACCAAGGCGACGACGGUUUGCCGGCCGGAGAGGGCAACCGGCCACAAUGUGCUGAGGGACGGCCCAAACGCCUACGGGAGGCAGCAGUGGGUAAUAUUGCACAAUUGGGGAAACCCUGAUGCAGCAACGCCGCGGUCGUGAUGACGGCCUUCGGGUUGUAAACCGCUUUCAGCCAUGACGCGGUAGUGGCAGAAGAAGCACCGGCUAACUACGUGCCAGCAGCCGCGGUAAUAC